rnacentral:rRNA from 1 species
AGGCUUAACACAUGCAAGUCGAGCGGGGAAAGGUAGCUUGCUACUUGACCUAGCGGCGGACGGGUGAGUAAUGCUUAGGAAUCUGCCUAUUAGUGGGGGACAACAUCUCGAAAGGGAUGCUAAUACCGCAUACGUCCUACGGGAGAAAGCAGGGGACCUUCGGGCCUGCGCUAAUAGAUGAGCCUAAGUCGGAUUAGCUAGUUGGUGGGGUAAAGGCCUACCAAGGCGACGAUCUGUAGCGGGUCUGAGAGGAUGAUCCGCCACACUGGGACUGAGACACGGCCCAGACUCCUACGGGAGGCAGCAGUGGGGAAUAUUGGACAAUGGGGGGAACCCUGAUCCAGCCAUGCCGCGUGUGUGAAGAAGGCCUUUUGGUUGUAAAGCACUUUAAGCGAGGAGGAGGCUACCGAGAUUAAUACUCUUGGAUAGUGGACGUUACUCGCAGAAUAAGCACCGGCUAACUCUGUGCCAGCAGCCGCGGUAAUACAGAGGGUGCAAGCGUUAAUCGGAUUUACUGGGCGUAAAGCGCGCGUAGGUGGCCAAUUAAGUCAAAUGUGAAAUCCCCGAGCUUAACUUGGGAAUUGCAUUCGAUACUGGUUGGCUAGAGUAUGGGAGAGGAUGGUAGAAUUCCAGGUGUAGCGGUGAAAUGCGUAGAGAUCUGGAGGAAUACCGAUGGCGAAGGCAGCCAUCUGGCCUAAUACUGACACUGAGGUGCGAAAGCAUGGGGAGCAAACAGGAUUAGAUACCCUGGUAGUCCAUGCCGUAAACGAUGUCUACUAGCCGUUGGGGCCUUUGAGGC